rnacentral:lncRNA from 1 species
AGCCUCUGGACCUGUGUCUGCCCAGACUUACCUCAGUGAUGGAGUGUGACCUGAGAGUUCUAAGCUGAGGGGAAACUGAGGCUGAGAGAUGUCUGCUGCAAACACGUCUCCACCCACUAUGACCUGAGUGUGCCCCCGGGGCUCACUCUCCCCUGGCCUGCAGUGAUUUUUCUCUGGGUGUGCUGGAGAGUGGAGAUGGGAAAAGCUACAGUCUCUGAACCCAACUGAAACAGGCUGCCCUGCACUCUGGACAGACCGAUCCCUGGCAGUGGCAGGUGGUCCUGGAUGCUAUAAGAAAGCAAGUUGAGAAAGCCAUGAGGAGCAAGCCAGUAAGCAGCACCCCUUCCUGGUCUCUGCUUCAGUUCCUGUCCCUAGGUUGCUGACUCAAUUUUCCCUGAUGAUGGACUAUCCUUGUGAGCCAAAUAAAUGUUUUUUCUCUCUGGA